UCCUGGCUAGCUCAGUUGGUAGAGUGCUCCACUGGAAAUGGAGGGAUCGCUGGUUUAAUAUCAGGACCAGGCG
rnacentral:tRNA from 1 species